CCUGGCCGUUUCUGGAGCACUGGGAGAGACCUUCGCACAGUUUCUGCUUGGAGUCCACCGCUCUUCAUCUCAGGUGGAGCUCCAGGAAAUUGAGAAGCAUGUUAUUAGUUUUAGCAAACAAUUUAAACAAAACUAAGACCAGAUCUCCCAGCAAUGGUGAAGGAUCUCAAGGGAGACCUUGGUCACAGUGGGCCUGGCUUCCCUACAGGCACUGCCUGCCAUAGAGGACAAGCCAUCGAAAAGUGAGGGUUUGAAGCACAGUAGGUCUCUGCAAAUAUUUAUUAAAUGAAUGCACAUGUAUUCAAACCCAGGAGAUGGAGGAGAAAGAUCAGAGGGAGGAUUUGAUAAACAGAAGGCUUCUAAGAAACAGCUUCCAACUCAAAUCAGUCCUUAAAAAUUUUUUAUUUUAUUGUACUAAGAACACUUAACAUGAGAUCUACCCUCUUAACAAAUUUUAAAGUGAAUUUCAAAUUAUUAAAUCGAAAGAUGAUUAAAAAAACAGUUGAAAAGGCACUCAAUAUUCACUCGCUACCUUGGAAACGUGUUAAUUAUCAUUAUCAUAUCAUGUGACUGCUUCGGAUUAAGCGUCUGAGCUGGGCUAAGCACGGAGCUGAGAGCUUUGCACCUAUUCGCUUGUCUGGGCCUCCCGGGAGCCUGGCGUGCAGGUUCUGCCCCCUCCCUCGUCAGAGUGGAGACAAUGGAGGCUGCAGAAGCCUUUCUCCCACUACCACCCUGCCAGGUGCUGCCUCGGCUGAGCAAUGGG
rnacentral:lncRNA from 1 species